CUUCUUUCUGCUAGAAAUUGCAGUUCCUGGCAACACUGGAUAUUGACUCCUCCCUAUGACAGAGAGCUGCGCACCUACAUGUAGGGACCGCUUUUUGAGCCCAUGAUGUCUGUACAAGCAUAACAAAACUGUCUCUUGAACGGAAUUGCCAAAGCGACAAGAACAGCUUUUUUUGAAGAGGGACACUGGCAUUCAGCAGCAUCCUCCAAAACUGCAAAUGGCAGGCUCCCAGUGGCAGUACUAUUUAGCUACACAACUGUCUUUUUAAAGUAGUGCCAGAUAUCAUGUCCUGUUCUACAGCGUUUGUUUUACUCAACUGAACUUCCAUGACAUUUUGAGAUGUACUUUACAAGACUAGCAGAAUGGAAAACAUAUCCUGGCAAGGUUUCCAGCAGAUCUGGGUUCGUGAUUCAGCAUUUCAUAAAUGGAUAAU